rnacentral:rRNA from 1 species
UACGUAGGGUGCAAGCGUUAAUCGGAAUUACUGGGCGUAAAGCGUGCGCAGGCGGUUUUGUAAGUCUGACGUGAAAUCCCCGGGCUUAACCUGGGAAUGGCGUUGGAGACUGCAAGGCUGGAAUCUGGCAGAGGGGGGUAGAAUUCCACGUGUAGCAGUGAAAUGCGUAGAGAUGUGGAGGAACACCGAUGGCGAAGGCAGCCCCCUGGGUCAAGAUUGACGCUCAUGCACGAAAGCGUGGGGAGCAAACAGG